rnacentral:rRNA from 1 species
AACGAACGCUGGCGGCAUGCCUAACACAUGCAAGUCGAACGCGUGUAGCAAUACACGAGUGGCGGACGGGUGAGUAACGCGUGGGAACCUGCCCAAUGGUAGGGAAUAACUGCGGGAAACUGCAGCUAAUACCCUAUGCUCCCUACGGGGGAAAGAUUUAUCGCCAUUGGAGGGGCCCGCGUCGGAUUAGCUAGUUGGCGGGGUAACGGCCCACCAAGGCUACGAUCCGUAGCUGGUCUGAGAGGAUGAUCAGCCACACUGGGACUGAGAUACGGCCCAGACUCCUACGGGAGGCAGCAGUGGGGAAUAUUGGACAAUGGGGGAAACCCUGAUCCAGCAAUGCCGCGUGAGUGAAGAAGGCCUUAGGGUUGUAAAGCUCUUUCGGCGGGACGAUGGUGACGGUACCCGCAGAAGAAGCCCCGGCUAACUUCGUG